CUUAUCCAGAGCGGCUGAGGGACAGGCCCGAUGAAGCCCGGCAACCGGUCGGCGUGCCGACAAGGUGCCAAUUCCUGCGACGGGACGCGCGUUCCGUCGAAAGAUGAGG
rnacentral:ncRNA from 1 species